GCUCACUUCCGGUGGGCUUCACAUGCUGUGGGGUGUCACUGUUAAGGUGAGAUGAGAGAAUUGAGGUUUGGAGUUGUUAAGCAGCUUGCCCAAAGUCACCUUGCAGAAGAUCCCUCUGGCUGCCAUAAGGAGAAUGGAUUGGAAGGAGCCAGAAUGCCUGAGGAAGAUAGAGCUUUUAGGAGUCUGUUGUAGUUGCACAGGUAGGAGAUGAUAAUGACUUGGAUUACAUCUGGCAGUGGAAUUAGGAGAAUAAAUUUGAGAGAUACUUAAGAAAUAGCAUAUAUGAGACUCGUAGUAUUUGGACGUGGGAAGUAAGGAUUCAAGGACAACCUCCUGCUUUCUGGCUUGGGCAAGUUGGUGAAUGGUGGACCCGUGUCUGACUCCUACAAACUGAGUAUGCUCUCAUACCCACUGCCCUGCCUUCUUUCACUGUUUGUCACAGAUAAUUUAUCAAUCUAAUUUUUCCUUACAAUAGUAUAUAUUCCAUAAGUGCAAGAACCAUGUCCCUCUUGUUCCAUGCCCAUCACAAGUGCCUGGCAUAUAACAGGGGGAAAUAAAUAAUGAAUGAAUGACAGAUAGGUGGAAACCAGAUCUUGAAAGACCUUCCUUAGCAUGUUAAGGAGCUUUGAUUUACCAGCAGUUUGUCCAGCUGCGGCCCACAGGCCACAUGUGGCUCAUGGCUUAGGAUGGCUUUGAAUGCAGCCCAACACAAAUUCGUAAACUUUAUUGAAACAUUGUGAGGUUUUUUGCGAUUUUUUUUAAAGCUCAUCAGCUAUUGUUAGUGUAUUUUAUGUGUGGCCCAAGACAAUUCUUCUUCUUCCAGUGUGGCCCAAGGAAGCCAAAAGAUUGGACACCCCUGAUUUAGCACAUAGCCUAACGCUUAAGUACUUAGCUUACCUUAAAAAAACAAACAACCAUUCUUCUUCUUCCAGCGUGGCCCAGGGAAGCCAAAAGAUUGGACACCCCUGAUUUAGCACAUUGUCUAAUGGCUAAGUACUCAGCUUACCUUAAAAAAACAAACAGCCCUCCCAGUCUAGCAGAAAGGAAAACCAAUGAUUAAUUUAUGGAAUCUGCCAGAAGCUCAGGAAUUGGAGAUAUCACGUAUCUUCAUAAGUUGGGGUAAAGGGAAGUUAAAAUGAGAGGAACUGGUUGAAAGUCUAUUUAAGAAGCAGUUAGAGCUCCCCAAAUCCUCUUCUGACCUCGUGCAGCCAAGUGAAUGCUUCUUCCCCACUCUAGAAAAAUAAUGGAGGAUUCUUCUCUACAGUGAUUAAAAUAGUAUUUGCCAGGCACAGUGGCACCAGCCUAUAGUCCCAUCUACUCGGAAAGCUGAUGUGGGAGGAUUGCUUGAGCCUAGGAGUUCAGCCAGCCUGGGCAACACAGUGGGGACUCCCCCCCACCCCCCGUCAGUGUAAAAAAAAAAAAAAUAGUAGUGUCUCUGGACUUGGGGGCACCAGACAUUAUUGAGAGUGGGUAGUGCCCUACUGAAUGGUGGAAGACUGAGUGGAAAUGCAUGCCUAUACACACCUUCCCCUACUGCUCCCAGAACAUUGGCAGCCAGGCCUUCGCCCUCCAGGAAGAUAUAGGAGAAUUUUUUAUGGGUGAAAUGACCAGUAUCAAAGAAAAGACAAUCAUCUGACAUCAGAAAUCUCUAAAUAAAUGAUUUAGCCACAUGACAUUAUAGCAGUGGUUCUCAACUGGUGCCAAUUUUCUACUUCUCCCAUCCCCUGGCACAUCUGGCAGUGUCUACAGACAGUUUUGGUGGUUGCAAUUGGGAAGAUCUUACAGGCAUCUAUUGAGUAGAAGUUGAAGAUGCUGCAAAAUACUCUAGGACAGACUCCCUUCCUACCCAAACAAAAAAUUACCUGGCCCCAAAUACCACUAUUACAGAGUUUGAGAAAUCCUGCUUUAUAAUAAAGCUCACACUUUGCAAGCCUCACUAAGGCACUCAGAACUUCCAUUCAGCUUUUAAGUCCCACUCUUAUAUAUGAGUAGACCAGCAAGGAUUACCAAGCUGAGGAGAGCCUUUAACACAAUGUAUAGAGGUCAAAACAAAUAGAGCAGCAAAAGCAGCUUGGAGGAAACUAACUGCAAGGAGAAUAAAACUUUUAAAAAGUGAACAUAUCCGCAGAGAGAUAGGAAGAGAUAUUGUAACCAUGAAAUAAUAUCAGGAUGUUAUUAUUUUCAAAGAAAGGUAUUCUUAGCAGAACAAAAGAGAGCUAUUGGAAUUUUAAAGCUAUUACCAGAAAUGAAAAACCCAGUAGAAGUGUCGGAAGAUAAAGGUGAAGAAAUCUCUCAGAAAGAAAAACAAAAAGACCAAGGAUGGAAAAUUGAGGAGAAACUAAAACUAGAGGACUAGUUCAAAAAGCCCUCUAUCACACACACUGUUAUAUCAUGCACACUAAUACAAUAAUUUCAGAAAGAGUAUAGAGAAAAAUCUGUCCUUUAAAGUCCUUCAAGAUUUGGUCUCUUCCUAUUAUUCGUUCAUUCAGAGUUUAUUGAGUCCUACUAUGUACUUGGUACUAUUCUGAGUGCUAAACAAAAAAGGUAUGGUUUGUGCCUUUGAGAACUUACAGUUGAGUGAGGGAAAACCAGAUAUUGAGUUAAUAGUACACUUGUGGGCCAAGUGCAGUGGCUCAUACUUGUAAUCCCAGCACUUUGGGGGACCAAGGCGGCAGAGUCACUGAGCUGGGGAGAUUGAGACCAGCCUGGGUAAUAUAGGGAGACCCCAUCUCUACAAAAAAAAAAAAAAAUAGACCAAAUUAGCCAGGUGUGGCACACGCCAAUAGCCCCAGAGGUUGACGCUGCAGUGAGCAGCCAUCAUGCCACUGCACUCCAGCCUGGGUGACGGAGUGAAACAUUGUCUCAAAAAUAAAGAAAAAAAAAAUAGUAUACUUGUGACUGUUCAAGAAGGCAGCACAGCUGAGGAAAUUAUUAAAUAAUUCAAGAAAAUUUAUCAUAAUUGAAAGACACUGCUGGGUUGAAAAUGGUUCACCAAAUGCUCAUUACAAUUAAUCAAAAUAGACUCACACUAAGGCACAUUCCAAAAUAACAGAACCAUGAUGGCAAAGAAGUUUCCAGAGAGUAAAAGAGGUCACACACACAAAAACAAGAAUCAAAAUGGCAUCAGACUUCUCAAUGGUAACACUAGCUAGAAGGCAGUUGAGAAAUGCCUUUGAAUUUCUGAAUACAAAUUAUUUCCAGCUACAAUUCUAUUCCCAGCCAACUUAUAGAUCAACUAUGAAGGGAGAAUAAUAGCAUUUUUAGACAAAAAAAAAACUAUUAAAAAACAAAAUACCUCCUAUUUCUUAGGCAGUUAGUUACUAGAGGAUGUUUGCCACCAAGAUGGAGCCAAUGCUGAAAGAGGAAGACAUUAGGAGCUCCAACACAGAUGGCAGGAAUCCUCAGGAUGACUUGGAGAGCAACCAGUCCAGACUGUAGCAAGUCAGGUUCUGGGGAAGGCUACUUCAUAAGGAUGAGCAAUUUGAGAGAGACUUAGACAAUCAGCAACAAGGUUGGGGUUGAAUUGGUAAUAAAUACAUGAAAACUAAGCCAGUGGGACAAUUAAUAUUAGAUGAGAAAGGAAAAGUGUUGAAAUGUUACUACAUGGCUCAAUUGUGCAGUUUCCACAUCAUCCCAAUAAUGUGAAUUGAAUAUUGAGCUAGACAAAAUUAUGGCAUAACUAUACUGGAAAGAUGGGGGAAUGAAAAGAAUAUUUAUGUGCAUAGAAAAGAGCUAAGCCCUCAUCCUCCAUGGUGGGGAGUCAGUGGGUAAUGCUGAAACAAAAUUCACCAAGCAGCGUAUCAUUUAUCUGGAGACAAGGGGGUAAAUUUAAAAAAAAAAAAAGGCUAAAAGAGGUGCCUGCAAGCACUCUGAGAGUAGUAUCUGCUUUUCUUAUCUUUUUUAAAAAUAACAAUUGUAGAAUUGUUUGAUUGUUAGUAUGUGCUUAUAUGUAUAACUUUAAUAAAAAUGAAAACAAACAAUAACAAAAAGCCUUUGUACUUAUUAAAAUUACUAAUGUCGUUUGACCCAGCAAUGCUACUUCUAGGAAUUUAUCUUAUAAAUGAUUUGGCAAAAUAAUGGAAUACAAGGUAAUUCAUUACAA
rnacentral:lncRNA from 10 species